rnacentral:rRNA from 1 species
AGCAGUCGCCGCGGUAAUACGAAGGGGGCUAGCGUUGUUCGGAUUUACUGGGCGUAAAGCGCACGUAGGCGGACUUUUAAGUCAGGGGUGAAAUCCCGGGGCUCAACCCCGGAACUGCCUUUGAUACUGGAAGUCUUGAGUAUGGUAGAGGUGAGUGGAAUUCCGAGUGUAGAGGUGAAAUUCGUAGAUAUUCGGAGGAACACCAGUGGCGAAGGCGGCUCACUGGACCAUUACUGACGCUGAGGUGCGAAAGCGUGGGGAGUAAACAGGAUUAGAGACCCCUGUAGUCCCUGUCUCUUAUAC